GACGAACGCUGGCGGCGUGCUUAACACAUGCGAGUCGAACGGAAAGGCCCUGCUUUUGUGGGGUGCUCGAGGGGCGAACGGGUGAGUAACACGUGAGUAACCUGCCCUGGACUUUGGGAUAACUUCAGGAAACUGGGGCUAAUACCGGAUAGGAGCCCCUGCUGCAUGGUGGGGGGUGGAAAGUUUCGGCGGUUGGGGAUGGACUCGCGGCUUAUUAGCUUGUUGGUGGGGUAGUGGCUUACCAAGGCUUUGACGGGUAGCCGGCCUGAGAGGGUGACCGGCCACCUUGGUGCUGCGAUGCGGCCCAGAAUCCUACGGGGGGCAGCAGUGGGGAAUAUUGCACAAUGGGCGGCAGCCUGAUGCAGCAGCGCCGCGUGCGGGAUGACGGCCUUCGGGUUGUAAACCGCUUUCGCCUGUGACGAAGCGUGAGUGACGGUAAUGGGUGAAGAAGCACCGGCUAACUCCGUG
rnacentral:rRNA from 1 species